rnacentral:rRNA from 1 species
AACGAACGCUGGCGGCAUGCCUAACACAUGCAAGUCGAACGAACCCUUCGGGGUGAGUGGCGCACGGGUGCGUAACACGUGGGAACCUGCCCUUAGGUUCGGAAUAACACAGAGAAAUUUGUGCUAAUACCGGAUAAUGUCUUCGGACCAAAGAUUUAUCGCCUUUGGAUGGGCCCGCGUAGGAUUAGCCAGUUGGUGCGGUAAAGGCUAACCAAGGGGACGAUCCUUAGCUGGUCUUAGAGGAUGAUCAGCCACACUGGGACUGAGACACGGCCCAGACUCCUACGGGAGGCAGCAGUGGGGAAUAUUGGACAAUGGGCGAAAGCCUGAUCCAGCAAUGCCGCGUGAGUGAUGAAGGCCUUAGGGUUGUAAAGCUCUUUUACCUGGGAUGAUAAUGACAGUACCAGGAGAAUAAGCCCCGGCUAACUCCGUGCCAGCCGCCGCGGUAAGAC